GAGCACUGAAGGUCCUAGGGGGUAUUGCACCGACCGAAGACUAUCAAACUCCGAAUGCCGGCAUCUUAUACUUGGGAGUCAGGCUGCGGGUGAUAACAUUCAUAGUCGAAAGGGCAACAGCCCAGAUCGCCACCUACGGUCCCUAAAUGUAAGUUAAGUGGUAAAGGAUGUGGGAGUGCACAGACAACCAGGAUGUUGGCUUAGAAGCAGCCACUCAUUCAAAGAGUGCGUCAUAGCUCACUGGUCGAGUGAUCCUGCGCCGAAGAUUUCCGGGGCUAAAACUUACUACCGAAGCCCAGGCAUCAGGAAUGAUGGGUAGGGGAGCGUCCCCUACGGGCUGAAGGACUA
rnacentral:rRNA from 1 species